rnacentral:rRNA from 1 species
GGGAUAGAAUUCCAGGAGUAGCGGUGAAAUGCGUAGAUAUCUGAAGGAAUACCAAAGGCGAAGGCAGUCCCCUGGUCCGAUACUGACACUGAGGUACGAAAGCGUGGGGAGCAAACAGGAUUAGAUACCCUGGUAGUCCACGCCCUAAACGAUGUCGAUUAGCCAUUGGAAGGACCCCUUUUCCUUUCAGUGACGUAGCUAACGCGUUAAAUCGACCGCCUGGGAAGUACGACCGCAAGGUUAAAACUCAAAGGAAUUGACGGGGACCUGAACAAGCGGUGAAUGAUGUGGAUUAAUUCGAUGCUACGCGAAGAACCUUACCUACCUUUGACAUGGCCAAAGUUCUACCGAGAGGCGGAAGUACUCGUAAGAGGAUUGGCGCACAGGUGCUGCAUGGUUGUCGUCAGUUCGUGUCGUGAGAUGUUGGGUUCAGUCCCGCAACGAACGCAACCCUUAUCUUUAAUUGCUCCUAUUUUAACAGGCACUUUAAAGAAACUGCCAAUGAUAAGUCGGAGGAAGGUGGGGAUCACGUCAAGUCCGCAUGGCCUUUAUAGGUAGGGCUUCACACGUCAUACAAUGGUUAGAACAAAGAGCUGCAAAUUCGUAAGAAGGAGCCAAUCUCACAAACCUAACCUCAGUUCGAAUUGCGGUCUGCAACUCGAGCGCAUGAAGCCGGAAUCGCUAGUAAUCGUGGAUCAGAAUGCCACGGUGAAUACGUUCUUAGGUCUU